UACGUAGGGUGCAAGCGUUAAUCGGAAUUACUGGGCGUAAAGCGUGCGCAGGCGGUCCGUUAAGACAGAUGUGAAAUCCCCGGGCUUAACCUGGGAACUGCAUUUGUGACUGGCGGACUCGAGUAUGGCAGAGGGGGGGUAGAAUUCCACGUGUAGCAGUGAAAUGCGUAGAGAUGUGGAGGAAUACCGAUGGCGAAGGCAGCC
rnacentral:rRNA from 1 species